GGAUGUGCCGAGAGGUGAAAUAUUUUAUAGCCUGUAGAUGAGUUUGCGUCUGAUUAGCUAGUUGGUGGGGUAAGGGCCUACCAAGGCGACGAUCAGUAGCUGGUCUGAGAGGACGAUCAGCCACACUGGGACUGAGACACGGCCCAGACUCCUACGGGAGGCAGCAGUGGGGAAUUCUAUCCGCAAUGGGCGAAAGCCUGACGGAGCAAUACCGCGUGAGGGAGGAAGGUCUGUGGAUUGUAAACCUCUUUUGAUAGGGAAGAUACCGGGAUAAUUUGCAACUCCGUGCCAGCAGCCGCGGUAAUACGGAGGAUGCAAGCGUUAUCCGGAAUUAUUGGGCGUAAAGCGUCCGUAGGUGGUUAAUCAAGUCUAUUGUCAAAGCCUGGGGCUUAACCCUGGAGAGGCGGUAGAAACUACCGCAAACUUGAGUGCGGUAGGGGCAGAGGGAAUUCCCAGUGUAGCGGUGAAAUGCGUA
rnacentral:rRNA from 1 species